UCCAUUAAUUCAGACGAGUUCUUCAAUGGUUCUUUUAGAUCUGAUAGGCGGUAUAAAUAGAUGUGAGUAUUCUCCCCGCUCGAUGUGCUCAGAACUUCAAGCUUUCCAACUCCUCUUUACUGAUUCGGUUCAAUGAUUCAACCGAUUUUGACGAGUUCACCGAACCGGUCUAUCCGUUACCUGAAGAAGGAUCUCGGUUCCAUAACUAAAUCGAGAUGGUUGGAUUAGCUAACACAAACACACAGCUUCCAGGUACGGACAUGAUUUGUAUAUAUAUAUAUAUAUGGUCUUAUUAUGUAUCUGGGCUUUGUGUUCCAUAUAUUGGUAUCGGUUUAUCCAUGUAACAUACUAAUUUCGAUCUCAAUUUCCGUAUCACUCUGGGCACAACUGGAGGAAGAAGAAAGAUGGUAAAAUGGUGAAAGAGGCUCACGAAAAGCUCAAGGUUGGAAGCAUUGAUGUGUUACAUUGUUACUAUGCACAUGGGGAAGACAAUGAGAAUUUCCAGAGGCGUUGCUACUCGAUGGUAAUAGGAUAAGCUCCAGUGGAAUAAAAGAAAACAAUUCAAAUUCACUGCUGUGAAUAUUGAUUCAACGGCAAACACAUCCAGAACAUUGUCACCACUAUGUGAAGAUGUUGAUUCUGGAAACCGAGAUGGUUGGAUUCAUGGGAAUAGAGUAAAAGAAAACAACUCCCAAAGAUUGGUGGGUGUCCCAGCAUUAGAUGCUUCCUUUGAGAAUCCGUUGGCAAGAUACCAGAACCUACCUUAUAAUCCUCUGUUGACUCAGGCAAAUCCUUCUAAUGCUGGAUUAGUGUCUGUGGAAGGGCAUCUCAGAAAUCCUCUUCAAAACCAAGAAAUUGGCAGAAUCCAGUUCAGGACAGCUUUCCACUGCAAAAAUGGCCCGUGGACUCCCAUGGUACUGACCUGGCCUUACAUGAGAAUUUCGAGACGUUUUCGAGUCUUAUCGACGGUCAAAACCAGCAGCAGCCUACCGGGAGUAGUUUUCAAGCUCCGUUUUCAUGGACCUGGACCUCUAGACUCUCUCUAUCGACCGUUUCUAUAAUCUUAGGCAUCGAUGUCUUGCUAGCGGUAACGUCCAAGCACGCUACGUGCGAGGAAUUCAGAAAUAUUUUCGAAAUGACAACCCAAUCGAUGGCAUGUACCAUUUAUGAUUAUCGGCAGAUAUUUAUUAUGAAGAUGAUGUUUACUUAUAUGGCAUCAUCAUGUUGUGCAGGGUGAGCAAGCUGUCGGUCGUGCCUACCUCGACAUGCUUGGCUGGAGGGAGUCUCCAACUAAAUUAGACGGAUGCUAGAGGCGAAUUAAAUCUUCGCUUCAGGUAUUGCUGUUGCGACACUCCCGGUUUACACGGCGACUUACCAAGAGACAAGAACUGCUAUUACAUGUCACCGUAAUAAUAUUGGUCGAAGAUGCGAGCUGUGCUUCUACUUUAGACAGAUGCGAGGCUUUAAUAUUUAACAUAUUUAGACAGUCCAUUGCCUAUCAGAUGGAAAUUAGAAGGCCUUCCAUUCUAAAUGUCAACAACCAGAAACUUAUUUUAUAGCAAAAAAAAUGUUCGAAUAGAGACAAGUUAAAAUUAUCUAUAAAUUAAAUUUUAAAACAUACAAAUAAUUUACUAAACAUUUAUUAUACAUAAGAUAAUAAACAUGUUCAUCUUAUAAUACUUAUAAAAAUGUUACUAAUUGAUAAUGUGAAGAAUAAAAUUAUCAAAUUAUCCACACAUUAAAACAUACAAAUAAUUUACUAAACAAUUAUUAUACAUAGGAUAAAAUAAU